GACGAACGCUGGCGGCGUGCCUAAUACAUGCAAGUAGAACGCUGAAGGAGGAGCUUGCUCUUCUGGAUGAGUUGCGAACGGGUGAGUAACGCGUAGGUAACCUGCCUGGUAGCGGGGGAUAACUAUUGGAAACGAUAGCUAAUACCGCAUAAGAGUAGAUGUUGCAUGACAUUUGCUUAAAAGGUGCAAUUGCAUCACUACCAGAUGGACCUGCGUUGUAUUAGCUAGUUGGUGGGGUAACGGCUCACCAAGGCGACGAUACAUAGCCGACCUGAGAGGGUGAUCGGCCACACUGGGACUGAGACACGGCCCAGACGCCUACGGGAGGCAGCAGUAGGGAAUCUUCGGCAAUGGACGGAAGUCUGACCGAGCAACGCCGCGUGAGUGAAGAAGGUUUUCGGAUCGUAAAGCUCUGUUGUAAGAGAAGAACGAGUGUGAGAGUGGAAAGUUCACACUGUGACGGUAGCUUACCAGAAAGGGACGGCUAACUACGUG
rnacentral:rRNA from 1 species